ensembl:lncRNA
GCCGGCGACGCCCCCCCCCCACCCCCGUUGAGAUGAGCUCACCCUCUGCCGACGGGGAGGGGCGGCCCGGAGGGUCUGCAGAACCCACGUCUCAGCCCAGCAGCAAAGGCCACCUCCUCCAGGGAGCUGCCCAGUCUUGCGCUGCCUCCCCACCUUUACCCCAAGCCUGAGGCUGAUCGGGAAAGUUGGAGUCUACCUUGGAGUGGGAAGUGCAACAGGCCCUAGCAGGAGAAAAAGCAAAGAAGGGAGCUGCUGCUACUGCUAAGUCGCUUCAGUCGUGUCCAACUCUGUGCGACCCAUAGACGGCAGCCCACCAGGCUCUGCUGUCCCUGGGAUUCUCCAGCCCUGAGACACAUGCAACUCAGAGUCUCUACUUUUCCAGGUCUGGGGGGAAUGAAGGUUUAUACAGCACCAGCUCUUCCCUGGUGAAAGAUUUUAACAAAGGCUUUUGCUCCUUGUGUUGAUGGAGAAGGAAAUGACAAUCCACUCCAGUAUUCUUGCCUGGAAAAUCCCAUGGACGGAGGAGCCUGGCGGGCUACAGUCCAUGGGGUCACAAGAGUUGGACACGACUUAGCAACUAAACCACCACCUUGUGUUGAAGAUUCCACAAAAGCACUAAAAGCAGCUCCAUUCCUGCUACCAUGCCGACUGUCCCAAGGCAGACUGAUGUGUCCUAGGACUGGAACACAAGGUGUCAUCUGAGAGGCUUUUGGUUGGCUAACCAGUCCCUGCUAUAUAUUGAUUGUGACAACCUUCCACAUGGUCAUUUUCACACUAGUCACCAUCUUACAACUUUUGUUACCAUCUGAGCCAUGUUUUAAAGCAUUCGACUGCCAGGCAAAACCCAGAGGAUCUUUAACAUCCUUGAAGGGAAAAAGUAAGCUUUGUAUUGUACCAAAGGACUUAGGUUCUGAUCUUAAAACAUUAAUCACUCAGUGAAUAAUCGUCUCC